rnacentral:rRNA from 1 species
UACGUAGGGUGCAAGCGUUAAUCGGAAUUACUGGGCGUAAAGCGUGCGCAGGCGGUUCGUUGUGUCUGAUGUGAAAUCCCCGGGCUCAACCCGGGAACUGCGUCCGAUACUGGAAGGCUUGAAUCCGGGAGAGGGAUGCGGAAUUCCAGGUGUAGCGGUGAAAUGCGCAGAUAUCAGGAGGAACACCGGUGGCGAAGGCGGGUCUCUGGGCCGAUACUGACGCUGAGGAGCGAAAGCGUGGGGAGCGAACAGG